UAGUGUUGUGAGUUUGCGGUAAAGUGUUCGCAUGAGGUGUCACGUGUUUAUUGUUAUUAUUCUGCAGUGACACGCAGGUGAUGCUGAGCCGGUGUAUGUCGGGGCAGUGAACGUGGCCCUACCGGAGUAGUGUUCUGCAAGGGGUCGCCUGCACAGUCGUAACUACGUCGUUUGUGUGAUGUGGUUACACGGUCGUUGGUGACAUUUUGCUUGUUGUCAAUUGAAUAAACUCUUAAGUCACCGUCA